AGAACAUCACAACUUUUUUCAAGAUUUCUGGUGCACUGAAUGCAACUAGAAGCAGGAAUCGUCAUUUCAGUAACCGUGGAGUUUAGCAGCAGAUAAAUAUCCAAUUUGGCCAGGGAGGGUAAAACACGUCAGAGGAUACAUAUAAUAACUCAUUUUAAAGACCGUUAAACAUUCACCAGCACGAAGCGAUUUUUAAACCGAAUUCGAUUAGAAAUUUAGCAACAUUUAAGGGAGGAUUCUGGCGAUGGACAAUGUUAAGAACGCUGGAGUCCAGGUGAGCGGUAUUGUGUGAAAAAGAAGGAGAAAGAACCCCCGCCACAGGCCAGAAGUGACAAGAGAACGUAUUAAAUGUGCAGCCACAACGGCAAGUGCAGCCAAAACAAGAGCAAAGAAGUGAGAGAAAUUUAUUAGGUUGAAACACGAACACCUUAGCUACCGGCGGCAACCAGAGUACAACAAUCUCUUUUUGCUCUCUGGAUACUGGCUAUUUACCACCAAUUUGGAAAGAAUCUUUUAUUGUUCCUUUAUUUAAAUCGUAUAGAAGAACUGAAACGUCAAACUAUAGAGGAACUGCUAAAUUGAACACAAUUCCAAAAUUAUUUGAAAAGAUGGUGACUGAGGUAUUACCUCAAGUUUCGUCCAUUUUUUAAAUUUCAACAUGGCUUCCGGAAACAUCGAUUGACUGUUAUAAAUCUUUUGGAAUUAACCCCAAUUGUGAAUGAAGGGUUUAGAAGUCGAUAUCAGACGGAUUGUAUUUAUACAGACUCCAGCAAAGCUUUUGAUAAGGUUAAUCAUAAAUUAUUGUUAUUGAAGUUGUAUCUUAUGGGGAUUUCCAUUCUUGAACUGGAUAAAAUCCUACCUAAUGGGCAGAGCUCAAAUGGUGAAAAUAAGGAAUGCUAUUUCUAAUAAAAUUAAUGUGACGUCUGGUG